AUUGAACGCUGGCGGCAUGCUUUACACAUGCGAGUCGAACGGUAACAGGCCUUCGGGUGCUGACGAGUGGCGAACGGGUGAGUAAUGCAUCGGAACGUGCCCAGAGGUGGGGGAUAACGCAGCGAAAGCUGUGCUAAUACCGCAUGUGAUCUGAGGAUGAAAGCGGGGGACCAGGCAGCAAUGUUUGGCCUCGCGCCUUUGGAGCGGCCGAUGUCAGAUUAGGUAGUUGGUGGGGUAAAGGCCUACCAAGCCGACGAUCUGUAGCUGGUCUGAGAGGACGACCAGCCACACUGGGACUGAGACACGGCCCAGACUCCUACGGGAGGCAGCAGUGGGGAAUUUUGGACAAUGGGCGCAAGCCUGAUCCAGCAAUGCCGCGUGCGGGAAGAAGGCCUUCGGGUUGUAAACCGCUUUUGUACGGAACGAAAAGGCUCUGGCUAAUACCUGGGGCUGAUGACGGUACCGUAAGAAUAAGCACCGGCUAACUACAUG
rnacentral:rRNA from 1 species